GGUCACUGCUAUUGGGAUUCGACUAAGCCAUGCGAGUCGAGAGGGUUCGGCCCUCGGCAGACGGCUCAGUAACACGUGGAUAAUCUGCCCUUAGGUGGAGGAUAACCUCGGGAAACUGAGAAUAAUACUCCAUAGAUCUAGGAUGCUGGAAUGCAUCUAGGUUGAAAGUUCCGGCGCCUAAGGAUGAGUCUGCGGACUAUCAGGCUGUAGUCAGGGUAAAGACCUGACUAACCUACGACGGAUACGGGUUGUGAGAGCAAUAACCCGGAGACGAUAUCUGAGACACGAUAUCGGGCCCUACGGGGCGCAGCAGGCGCGAAACCUUCACACUGUGCGAAAGCACGAUGAGGGGAUCCCAAGUGCUUGCACGUAAGUGUAAGCUGUUUCUGUGUCUAAAAAGCAUAGAGAGUAAGGGCUGGGUAAGACGGGUGCCAGCCGCCGCGGUAAUACCUGCAGCUCAAGUGGUGACCGCUAUAUUGGGCCUAAAACGUUCGUAGCCGGUUUAGUAAAUGCCUGGGUAAAUCGUGUAGCUUAACUAUACGAAUUCCGGGUAGACUGCUAAACUUGAGACCGGGAGAGGCUAGAGGUACUUCUGGGGUAGAGGUGAAAUUCUGUAAUCCUAGGGGGACCACCAGUGGCGAAGGCGUCUAGCUAGAACGGGUCUGACGGUGAGGGACAAAGCCCUGGGGCGCAAACCGGAUUAGAUACCCGGGUAGUCCAGGGUGUAAACGCUGCUUGCUUGAUGUUAGUCGGGCUCUGAGCCCGAUUAGUGUCGGAGAGAAGUUGUUAAGCAAGCUGCCUGGGAAGUACGGUCGCAAGGCUGAAACUUAAAGGAAUUGGCGGGGAGCACAGCAACGGGUGGAGCGUGCGGUUUA
rnacentral:rRNA from 1 species